GCCCAGCCCUCUCCCGGGGGUUGGGGAAGCGUCUGCCGCAGGCAACGUCUGAAGGUGGUCUGUGGGCCCCUUGCAGCUCCACCGGUUUGAGCUGCAUUUUCUCCCCACCUGCGGCUGGAUUCCUGGCUUGCUGUCUCACCAGCUCAUGGACAGCCUCCGACCGACUCCCUUGGUGAUCCCGGCACAGCACCGACAGGACAGCUCGCCACAGAAAAUGCGGCUCCAGCCCCGCUCAGCACCCCUGGCCCAGCCCAGGGCGAGCAGAGCCGCGCCCUGCAUACAGCAGGCACAUCCUCUCCCUUUGCCUGCAGCUCUGGGAAGACGCAACCUCUGCUGCCCCGCACAGCCCGGACUCCUGCUGGCUCUGACCUCAUUCCCCCACUCCCUGGCUGAUGCCAAAGCCGCUGGCCAAGGACAAACAGCACAGGUUUAGGAGAAAGCAAGCUUAAGGCCACCCGGAGAGCCUCCGCAGCCCCAGACCCACUGUUCCUCCGAAGCAAGCAAAGGGGUGACGCAGAGCAGCCGGGCCAGGCGGAUCCAGGACCAGCUUCUUCCGGCCAGGAGCAGGACACACACCAAUCCCAUGGCACUGGGCUUUGGAAGGCUUCUGGCACUGACAGUGAUGAUUUGGCUCCACACAGGACAGACAGACACGCACAUGCUGCUGCCUCCAGCCCACACCUGCCAGUCGUGUGGCCUCUGAAAUCAGAACGAGUCUGUCCACGAGGGCAUCAUACACUGGUUCAUAGGAGCUCCAUUUUUCUUUCUUCAAAAAAGGCAUGUUAAAUCCACAUAUGAAGUGUGUUCAUGGAAUCACCUCCAGGUGAACCACGGGCACAGAAUCCUCAUCAAUGAAAACUGCUCAGCAUUAACCUUCAGAAGCUGAUGACACUGUUCUACUUUAAGCAGGAAAGAGGAAAGUUUUAAAACAAGAGAAAUGACAGAUAUUUCCUAAGCUUGAAUAUAAAUAAUAAACAUAAGUCUGAAAAAGACAGGAUUCUUACCUCACUGGGAUGGAAAAAGGCUUGAAUGGAAUCCGAAGUAUAAAAGGGAAAAGAACCCAGGAGAAGCUUCCUCCACGCCUGUUGAGAGCACUUCUUUCUCUCAAGUGAAUGGAUCCUGCUUUUUGCGGACAUAGGUGCCUGCAAUCGCCAGCGCCUCUCAGAACAUCAAGACUGCACUGGGGAGAACCCACAGAAACGGACAGGACUGCUGGCCAGGUGGCUUCCCUCACAGGCGCCCCAGAGCCAGGUGAGGACACCUCCAGGGAAUGUGCGCCUCUACACACGGGACUAGCCUGGGCUGCACCUUCUGCUCUGCCCUGGAGGUGGAGGAGGUGGGCUAUUUAGUGGGAAAUACGUUCUAGAGGAAAGAUGGAAAAAGGUGUCCAAAUACGCAGUUAAAAUCCAGUUAAACAUUUAAAAUUUAUUAAACUUUUUGGUCAAAAUAGUUGAACAAAUAUAUACAAUCCCAUUUUACUAGAAUUGUCUUAAGGACCAGGGUUGACUAAUGCUUAAAUAACUCUGUUCCACACCUCAGACUUUGUAAAUUGUGUCACAAUCAAGAUACAGUAUAUAAAUUAUUUUUUAGUUAAAAUAAAGGUACUUUUAGAUUCUCAAUUUCUAACUUAAUGUGAACUCAAGUUGCACUGUGUUAGCAUUAAUUCAGGGUAAUGACGGACAGCCUGUUCUUGUGCAUGUGGAUUAGUAAUCAGCACACACUUUCAUCUCCACAGGGGGAUGGGGGAUCAGCACACACUUUCAUCUCCACAGGGGAGGGGGAUCAGCACACACUUUCAUCUCCACAGUGGGACGGGGGAUCAGCACACACUUUCAUCUCCACAGGGGGAUGGGGGAUCAGCACACACUUUCAUCUCCACAGGGGGAUGGGGAAUCAGCACACACUUUCAUCUCCACAGGGGGAUGGGGGAUCAGCACACACUUUCAUCUCCAGAGGGGGAUGAGGGAUCAGCACACACUUUCAUCUCCACAGAGGGAUGGGGGAUCAGCACACACUUUCAUCUCCACAGGGGGACUGGGGAUCAGCACACCCCUUCAUCUCCACAGGGGGACGGGGGAUCAGCACACCCCUUCAUCUCCACAGGGAGACAGGGGAUCAGCAUGCACCUUCAUCUAGACAGGGGCAUGAGGAAUCAGCAUGCACCUUCAUCUAGACAGGGGGAUGAGAUAGGGGGGGAUCAGCACACACCUCCAUCUCCACAGGGGCACAGACAAUCAGCAAGCACAGACCUUCAUCUAGACAGGGGGACGGGGGAUCAGCACACACCUCCAUCUCCACAGCAGCACGAGGAAUCAACACACACCUUCAUCUCCAUAGGGGGACAGGGGAUCAGCACACACCUCCAUCUCCACAGGAGCACAAGUAAUCAGCACACACCUUCACCUCCACAGGGGAAUGGGAGCCCGACUCCUCACUCCCCUUGGGGACAUGUAGUGGGCGUGUGUUAAAUCCCACGGAAGCAAGCUCUGCUCACUCGGCAUUGGCACAGCUCUGUAUUAUCUGUCUUGGAAAAUUUUGAUUUCUGGUAUCAAAGAUCUUACUUU